GCCUCCUCCCCUCAUCGCCGCCCCUCGGCAGCCGUCCGUCCUGUAGGCAGACUCUCGCUGCCGCCCCCGUCUGGUCUACCCGCAGACCCGCCGCUCCCUCCUCACCGUCCUUCGGUUCUGCCCCUGCCGCCCCUCUCUCUUGCAGCGGAGCAGAAGCGGAAGCGCCGAGAGAAGAUCAACCGACGAUUCAUUGAGCUAUCCACUGUCAUCCCCGGCUUCGAGAAGUAGCAGGAAAAUCUCAAGGCACUCGAGGACGCAACCUCCAGAGCAUCCAGUCCACGGUGCUCAUCGGGAAGUUGUGCACAGCCGCGCCGGAAGGCGUCGGCGGCUGCUGCCCGCCAUCGUCUGCAGCGGCCGUAGCUGGAAGCACGACGCCGACGACCGGGAAAGUGCUGCUGGAGGCGAGAAGGACAAUUGGAGUCGCCGGCGUCGCUUAUGGAGCUCCACACCAUUGCCCAGUUGUACAAUAGCAUGUGCAAUCUUCUCCAUUCAAGACUAAUAAGUGCAAAUUGUGAACUCUUUGCCAAACAAGAAGAUAUGAGGAUCAGGCAUAUAGGCCCCAAUAAGGAACGUGGAGAGGUCAAUCUGGUCGAUUGUAGCCACAAGGGAUACUGCUGUAGUAUUUGGGGGAAAGAGUACGUCUGCACCUGAUGGUGAUAUGCCAAAGUUUUGUAUUUUCUAGGUAAAUUUGCUACAUGGGAAGAUUCC